CUUAUACUUCUUAACCUGUCUUCAAAAGUUACAUAGAGUUACAGUAGUGUAUUAAAUAUUAUGGAUAAGGGGAAAAGUCUUGUAUUUUUCUGUAUGUAUGUGUGUGUGUAUAUAUAUAUAUAUGUAUAAAAAUUAUGGACU